UUUGUUUUCUGUUUUUCAUCUAUAUUUUCUAAUCACUGUUCACUGUUUUGAGGGAGCAGGCAGUUUUAAAUAUUUAUAUCCUAACCAAGAUAUGAUGGGGUAUGUAGUCAGCAGUUUGUAUCUUUAGUUGACAGUAAACAAGAAUCAUGGGUAUCACAAUAAGCAACAAAUAUGUUAGGGUAACAUUGACACUAUCAGUGAAGCAUGUGUACAUCCUCAAUAUAAAAAAAUACAAUUCCAAGAAUUCGCUCAUUUUUCUGAAAAUAGAAUCUUGAUGAUAAAAACUGUUCUUUGAUAAAAGAAGACUGGUUGAGUAGAAAUAAUGAUGGACAACAAAGAUUAUUUUGGAGCUUGAAUCCAAAUACUUGUAUGAGUGUUUAGGUGUGAAAUUAGGCCUUUAUUUUCUCUUAAUUCUACACUUGCUUUUUAGUUAGGAAUUGGUAGUUGUCUUCUAAGAAGAAGAAUUAUUAGUAAUAUAAAAAUGGAGCC